UUUUGUGUGUGCCCAGUAGCUGCAGCAGUGGAAGGCAGUGAUUGGCUCCAGUGCUCCUAGAAGGAUUUGGGCUGAAGCCAGGAGAACAGAACCAGAGGAUUCCCUUUCCAGAGACCAUCAGGCCCCACAUGUCUUAUCUCUCCUUUCUCCCCUCAGGGGUGCUCAGAAUUUCAGUAUGGCAUCAGCAGCCCAUAGAAGCGACUGACAUGGUCAACAAAUUUAUCAAAGAAACCCCCUUGCUUUUGAAGAAUAGUACUUUAUACAUCUGGAUCUGCACAUCCAGGCAAACCCUAUCUACUGUGCUAGCCAGACCAGAGCAGGGGAAAGUGGAACUUUUGAAUGUGAAGGAAAAAAUUAUUAUACAUUUUUUUUUUCUUGCUCAGAAAUAUC